rnacentral:misc_RNA from 1 species
GUGAAGAACGUAGCGAAAUGCGAUAAGUAAUGUGAAUUGCAGAAUUCAGUGAAUCAUCGAAUCUUUGAACGCACAUUGCGCCCGCCAGUAUUCUGGCGGGCAUGCCUGUCCGAGCGUCAUUUCAACCCUCGAACCCCUCCGGGGGGUCGGCGUUGGGGAUCGGCCCUUUACGGGGCCGGCCCCGAAAUACAGUGGCGGUCUCGCCGCAGCCUCUCCUGCGCAGUAGUUUGCACACUCGCAUCGGGAGCGCGGCGCGUCCACAGCCGUUAAACACCCCAAACUUCUGAAAUGUUGACCUCGGAUCAGGUAGGAAUACCCGCUGAACUUAAGCAUAUCAAUAAGCGGAGGA